AACCCAUGGUGAGGACACCUUCUCAAUAAAUCCUUAUACCUCUCCCAUGCAUCAUAUAGUCUCUCUAAAUCCAUUUGCACGAAGUAAUAGAUAUCAUUCCUCAGCUU
rfam:Gossypium arboreum cultivar AKA8401 contig_5028_5, whole genome shotgun sequence.